CAUGUGGGGCAAGCGUUGUUCGGAAUUACUGGGCAUAAAGGGUGCGUAGGCGGCUUGUUAAGUCAGUGGUGAAAGUUUUCGGCCCAACCGGAAAAUUGCCGUUGAUACUGGCGAGCUUGAGUGCGUGAGGGAUAGGGGGAACGAGCAGUGUAGCGGUGAAAUGCGUAGAUAUUGCUCGGAAGGCCAGAGCCGAAGGGGCCCUAUUGGUACGUAACUGACGCUGAGGCACGAAAGCGUGGGGAGCAAACAGGAUUAGAUACCCUGGUAGUCCACGCCGUAAACGAUGAACACUAGGUGGGUGCCGAGCUAUCGGUGCCCGCCGUAGGCAAUUUGCUAAGUGUUCCGCCUGGGGAGUAUGGUCGCAAGGCUG
rnacentral:rRNA from 1 species